CGUGGCGAACCUCGAGAAAACGUAGAUCACCUUCAGCAUCAACACCAGCGUGCACCGUGAACGACUGCCGAUGCAUUUGUCGAGACGUUCUUGCUGCUUCUGGACUGGGUGCAGUGGUGGUGGGUACCAAACUUCCCCCGUGAUACCGGAAACCAGUACUCAAAGAAGAUUUGCUUGACCAUACGCUUCCCGUACGUUGCUUUGGUUGACGUGGAAACUGAAAUCGUCGAAUUUUCCGUCAACUUGAUCACUUGGUUUCAAUGAUUCAAGGAAAGUUUCAAAGAAUUGAAAAGUUGAUGAGAAAUUCUUCUAGGAUAAAUAAUUAUGCAUAAUAUUACAGUAACAAGGUAUCAACCACGUGCAAUGAUGGUUGCCCUUUACGAGGGGAAUUAUGGAAGAAAAGGCAAUGAUUGGAAUGGUCCAAGCAUCGGUGUUUUCUUGUCUGAUUUCUGCGACUGAGAGUGGAGACCGGCAUUUCUAUUAGAAUUAUUUUUACUUCCUGCCGAGUAAUAUUUGAAAUAAGUCGGAGGUCUCUACCUUAUCCAUUUGGGCAAGAAGACCAUCCUGACUGCUCUGUCUGGUUGUUUCCCG